rnacentral:rRNA from 1 species
AGCGAACGCUGGCGGCAGGCUUAACACAUGCAAGUCGAGCGGGCACCUUUCGGGGUGUCCGCGGCGGACGGGUGAGUAACGCGUGGGAACGUGCCCUCUGGUUCGGAAUAACUCAGGGAAACUUGAGCUAAUACCGGAUACGCCCUUUUGGGGAAAGGCUUGCUGCCGGAGGAUCGGCCCGCGUCUGAUUAGCUAGUUGGUGAGGUAACGGCUCACCAAGGCGACGAUCAGUAGCUGGUCUGAGAGGAUGAUCAGCCACACUGGGACUGAGGCACGGCCCAGACUCCUACGGGAGGCAGCAGUGGGGAAUAUUGGACAAUGGGCGCAAGCCUGAUCCAGCCAUGCCGCGUGAGUGAUGAAGGCCUUAGGGUUGUAAAGCUCUUUUAUCCGGGACGAUAAUGACGGUACCGGAGGAAUAAGCCCCGGCUAACUUCGU